AUACGGAGGAUGCAAGCGUUAAUCGGAAUUACUGGGCGUAAAGGGCGCGUAGGCGGUCUAUCAAGUCAGGUGUGAAAUCCCACGGCUCAACCGUGGAGGUGCAUCUGAAACUGAUAGACUUGAGUAUGGGAGAGGAAAGUGGAAUUCCCGGUGUAGAGGUGAAAUUCGUAGAUAUCGGGAGGAACACCAGUGGCGAAGGCGACUUUCUGGACCAAUACUGACGCUGAGGCGCGAAAGCGUGGGGAGCAAACAGGAUUAGAUACCCUAGUAGUCC
rnacentral:rRNA from 1 species